UACGUAGGGGCAAGCGUUGUCCGGAAUCAUUGGGCGUAAAGAGCGUGUAGGCGGUUCGGUAAGUCUGCUGUGAAAGUCCAGGGCUCAACCCUGGAAAGCCGGUGGAUACUGUCGGACUAGAGUGCGGAAGAGGCGAGUGGAAUUCCCGGUGUAGCGGUGAAAUGCGCAGAUAUCGGGAGGAACACCUAUUGCGAAGGCAGCUCGCUGGGACGUUACUGACGCUGAGACGCGAAAGCGUGGGGAGCAAACAGG
rnacentral:rRNA from 1 species